GUCUUGGCAACAGGAGGUGGAGAGGAGAUGCGCCGAGGGAUGGAGGUGUAUGUCACCGAGGAGGCUGCUGCGCUCCUGCCCCACGCCCUGGGCCCUUGAAGGGCUCUGCGAGUGACCCGGCAGGCGAGCUCCGUGCUGCAUGGAACGGCUGCAGAAGGCCAAGAUGGACAAUCAGGUGCUGGGCUACAAGGACCUGGCUGCCAUCCCCAAGGACAAGGCCAUCCUGGACAUCGAGCGGCCCGACCUCAUGAUCUACGAGCCUCACUUCACUUAUUCCCUCCUGGAACACGUGGAGCUGCCUCGCAGCCGCGAGCGCUCGCUGUCACCCAAAUCCACAUCCCCCCCACCAUCCCCAGAGGUGAGUCUGCCCCACACCUGCAACUUGCCCUGCCCUGCCCUGAAGGGGAUCCUAACUCCCUCCCCUCACACAUCAGACCUAGCUCUGCAGAGCCCAGGGAGUGCCCGAAUCAGUGGCCCCCUGGCUGUCACUGGCCAGCUCUGUGUCCAUCAUUCUGUCGGACCCAGGACCUCAACCCUCUCUCCCUGGGCCAGGCACCAUCAGUAGGUCCUUGGAACUGUGCCACAACAUUGCCCUGGGUUUGGAGGGAUGCAGCCGGCCAGGAUGGGAGGACAGAGAGGGUGGUGUGAGCUGAUGGGGUGCAUGUGUGGGUUGGAGGGGGUUAGGGGCCCUGGAGCCACACGCUUCUGCUCUGCAGGUGUGGGCGGACAGCCGGUCGCCUGGAAUCAUCUCUCAGGCCUCGGCCCCCAGAACCACUGGAACCCCCCGGACCAGCCUGCCCCAUUUCCACCACCCUGAGACCUCCCGCCCAGAUUCCAACAUCUACAAGAAGCCUCCCAUCUAUAAGCAGAGAGAGUCCGUGGGAGGCAGCCCUCAGACCAAGCACCUCAUCGAGGAUCUCAUCAUCGAGUCAUCCAAGUUUCCUGCAGCCCAGCCCCCAGACCCCAACCAGCCAGCCAAAAUCGAAACCGACUACUG
rnacentral:sRNA from 1 species